rnacentral:rRNA from 1 species
CCUACGGGAGGCUGCAGUGGGGAAUAUUGGGCAAUGUACGCAAGUCUGCCCCAGCAACGCCGCGUGAAGGAAGAAGGCUUUCGGGUUGUAAACUUCUUUUAAGGGGGAAGAGCAGAAGACGGUACCCCUUGAAUAAGCCACGACUAACUACGUGCCAGCAGCCGCGGUAAUACGUAGGUGGCAAGCGUUGUCCGGAUUUACUGGGGGUAAAGGGCGUGCAGCCGGAGAGACAAGUACGAUGUGAAAUCCACGGGCUCAAACCGUGAACUGCAUCUGAAACUGUUUCCCUUGAGUGUCGGAGAGGUAAUCGGAAUUCCUAGUGUAGCGGUGAAAUGCGUAGAUAUUAGGAAGAACACCAGUGGCGAAGGCGGAUUACUGGACGAUAACUGACGGUGAGGCGCGAAAGCGUGGGGAGCAAACAGGAUUAGAUACCCUAGUAGUC